UUGAGUAUUGUCUUAUUUGGAGGGCCCAGGAGGGGCCAUGUGAUAUUGAUGAGAUGUUAUUGGAAAUUGAGAAUUUAGAAGUGUUAUUUGAGCCUUUUUGCAGGUUGGGUAGGUCCCAGGUAUAGGGGAAACUCUGCCGGAUUUCCGGCAUUAAUUAGGCUGUCUAUUACCUCUUUAGAGUUUUAUCUUAACUUAGUACUAAUAAAUUUAUAAUGUAAUUAUUAGGUGAUCGAGGUCAGCUAUUUUUCUGCAUCCAACAGCCACAAUAGUCAUCGGUGUACUGCCACAGGAGGAGUUAUUUUACAGAGCAACCUGUUUUCUUCCUCGCAGGUUUAACGUCGAUCAUUUAAUUGUUUUACUAUCUUUUCUAAAUUUAAAAUCUAGAACUCCACAUGUGUUAGUAAUAGUGUGGACCUUGUUAGAAAUUGUGUUAAUUUAAAUUUUUGAAAUUAAUAAAUGAAGAUUUGUACGGUACUUAAACAGUUUGUAAAUGAGGUAACAGGGUUGAGCUGGGCUCCCCUGAUUUUAGUUUCUGAAAAUUUCUGGGUUAAGUUGGCUCAAAAUAUUAUUAUAACAGUUUAAUUUAAUUUAUUUUAUAUG